AGUAGACCUCCUUCUAAAAUAAUACACUACCUACGAGCAUACUAAUUUUUGAAGGUCUUCAGACUUCGGGAACCCUCCGCAACGUACGCAUUUUCAAAACUAAUAGGAUGCUUUGAUCGAUAAUAAUACAAAUCUAUCAGCGGCAUGUACCAAAUGUUUUACCUAUAUAAUAUCACGUUCUAAGGUAUGGCGAUAUUGAAUAUAAUGAGUGAAGGAUGUAAAUUUUUAUUGUAUGUUUAUCUGCAUACCCCUUUGUAUCGAACUUCCUAUGACAUCGUUUGUCAUAGCUGUGCAAUCUGUACAGGUUUCCUAUCUAAAUGGAUAGCAAUAAAUAAAACUCCUCCUCGAAACCGUUCGAUAGUCAGUUGCGAAGAAAAUGGAGGCUCAAGGUGCGGCCAUCAUCUUUGGCCCAUUGCAGACGGCCUAUGAACGAGAACUCCGAACAUAUCUCAAACAAAAAUAUGGAUCUGUAAGUACUUUUCAUGCAUCAUACCGUAUUUUAAUUAGCUCUUAUUUAGGAAAAUGUUGCUAUUUUACGGGGUCGGGGGGUAAUCCCUGACUCCGUAAAGAUAGAGGAAGGUAGCUUCCUGGGGCGGAGGUUCCAGGUCUUUAAGGACCUGGAACUACAAAACACGUACUGGGUGUUUUAUAUCGAGAAAUGUGCAAUCAUUUUUGCGAGGAGUCGAGGUAAACUAUACGUUUUAACCGUAUAUUUGUAGAACAAGAAACUACUAUUAUUUUCGGCGGGAUAAACCCAGCGAGAACGGAGCGGGGGAUUUCCAAUUAUGAAUAACAAUGCUGUCAUUAAAAUGGGCGUUGCUGACGUCGAGGCUCUCUUCGACGCAAAUUUUAUGUAAGUAGAGUAAGCGCUUUAAUUGUAAUAAUAAACUUCAAAUCACUAUUUCCGCUGUAAAUAAAAACACCCUACAUUUUGUUUGUUGUUUUUUCCCUGCCCACUCCUGUUCUGGUUAUAGGGAACCUACCUCCGAUAUGGAAUUAUAGGUAAGAAUGAGGGUCCUCGCACCUGUCUCCUGAAAUUACAAUUUCCUACCCUAGUCGCAUCAAUCUAAUAGAGGGAGUCGGAUGAAAAUAUACCUCUAUAUGCAUUACGACGCCAAUAGAUGGCGCCUCCGUAUCAAAUCGCUAUUUCAGCUCUAAAUAAAAACGCUCUACAUUUUGUUUUUGUUGUUUUAUUUCCCUCCCCGCCCCUGUUCUGGUUGUAGGUUAGAAUGGGGCCCCCUUGUGUAUGUCUCUCAAAUGGGGGAGCUACCUCCGAGAUGGAAUGAUAGGUUAGAAUUCUCCUCCCUUGCAUCUCUCUCCUGAACCACUGGAUAGUUCACAUGUUUGCUAUUGUACAAAUGUAUACACGGCCGACUUUAUUCGUAAAUUUCUAACGCAAGAAGUCAAAAUUGCAGUUUCCUAUACGUUAGAUGCGUAUCAUUUUGACGCCACCAAAUAGCCCCUAGCCCCUAUCGGGUUUUUUCCCUGCCCACUCCUGUUCUAGUUAUAGGGAACCUACCUCCGAGAUGGAAUUAUAGGUUAGAAUGAGGGUCCUCGCACCUGUCUCCUGAAAUUACAAUUUCCUACCCUAUACCUAUAUGUCACAUCAAUCUAAUAGAGGGAGUCGGUUGAAAAUAUACCUCUAUAUGCAUUACGACGCCAAUAGAUGGCACCUCCGUACCAUUUAAUAUAUCUAUGAUUUAAUAAUAUUUAGAGGUUCGUUAUAAAUACAACUAUCGAAGCAUUAUAUCAUACAAGUCUAGUUAGCCUAGUGGUUAUGCUAUAGGACUUGUAAUCCGAUGGUUGGCGGUUCGAAUCCGUUCCAUUUAAAAAAAUUUUCAGGAGGUUCGAUAUAAAUACAACUAUCCAAGCAUUAUAUCAUACAAGUCUAAUUAGCUCAGUGGUUAUGCUAUAGGACUUGUAAUCCAAUGGUUGGCGGUUCGAAUCCGUUCCAUUUAA